GACAGGCGGGACGGGUGUAUCACAGUCCCUGAUGAGAUUGGGUCAGAGAUUGUUAUUUUUAUAUCUACAGAUAGCUCGUAGUGAUUAGCGAUAGUAUAGUAGCAUGUAGCUGUAGAGUUCAUUCCAGCUUUUCUUACUAUCUCUUGUACACAUUUCUGUAGACUUAGUGGGUGAGCUGUUGAGGUCGGUGACGAUACCCACCGAGAACUACUUGUUUUAUAGUAGUUCUCACACCCAGUUGUUGACCCCUUUUUACAGAGCCUUCGUCUGUGGCUGCUAUUGCCGCUGAUUCAGACCGUGGGAAGGGAGUUGCGAGCUAGAUCCCUACCCAUCUCGUUGCCGUGCUAGAGGAGUACCUUCCAUAGGUAGUUUUGGGGUUUUUUGUACAUAUGGUUAUAUUGUCGGGGUACUCACUGGAGCGAGUUGUGUUGUAGACUUUUUGUAUGUACAGGAACCCCUUGAGGUUUUUAUAUAUAUAUAUGUUUAUUUUCAGUUUAGCAGCUCUAUACUACUGGUUGUAGUUAUGUUGUGAUUACAGGUACAGCUAUCGCUUUGUAUACACGAAAAUUUUCUCUGUAUACGGUGGGUCUAUUGGCGUGCCCGGGGAAAUGUGGUAAUCCAGGGCGUGACACUGACAGCCUCAAUCGGACUAAACCACGACGCGCGCGCAAUCCUCCAAGACGACGAGAGGGGAAAAAUUAGCUCGUUCCUCAAAUUCCAAAGAAAAGAGAAGAGAAGCUAGAGAAAGAGAGAGAGAGGAGAAGCUAACAGGGUUUCUCUAAGCUUCCAACACUUCUAUACGAGCUGAGGUCGGUUGGAAUGAACGACACACAAAAAUGACCAAAAGGCCCCUUACCAACUCAUUUCUGCCUCUGGGGUACCGGUACUCAACUUGGGUAUCGGUACUCGUCCCUCAAACUGCAAUCUCGCGCUGGGUACCGUUACCAGCCCGAUGCAGUACCGGUACUCAAGCUCGGUACCGGCCAGUACUCAACAACAGAUACCGGUACUCAACAUCAAACUGCGCAAACCCGAGAGCAUCCAGUUCAGAAAUUUCAUUGGGUACCGGUACUCCUCCCAGGUACCGGUACUCAACACUGAAAUCCUGCACUUUACAAAUUUUAGUGUCAGAACUGCACUCUCGCACAGCGCCGAGUCCGUUUUGCAUCUAAUUCGUGCCAAGACGUCUCCGACUUGUCCCGACACCCACCAGAUGUGUUGACAAGCCAUAGCUACUGAAGUCACACAUGCAGCCAAACACCAGGGACACUACACCAGAGCGUGACAAAGGAUAUAUUUAAAAAGGAAAAAGUCAAAAUACAUCUUUAUGUCCUAACUUAAGGAUAAAUAAAAAAAAGUUGGCAAUGGUAAAAAAAAAAUAUUUAAAUAAAUAUUCUCAAUAUUAGUUUUCUAAAAAUGAUAAAUAAAAAAAUCAAAAACCUUGUAGGUGUAUAUAGGCAAUUGCCACUUCAAUGACAUUGCACAAGAAAGGCACAUGGGUUUCUUGUGUGACGGCCAUUUAGGAUGUGUUUGGUUUAAAGUCAAAACUGGUAUCAGAAUCGAAAUAAGAAUAAGCUGGAAACAAAAUCGGAAUGAUUUAUUAUCUCAUUCUGUUUGGUUUGCCGCUUGAAUCGAAAUUGGAAUAAACAAUUCUCAUUGUCGGUGUUUGGUUUAAAUAAAUACCAGAAAGGUAAUCAAAUUGAUAUGCUAAAUUUAUCUUUAUAAUAUGUUAGUUUAAAUUCAGACUGAAAAUUAAAUAUUAAAAAUUUAUGUCAAAUGUCAAAAUUUUAAAUAUAUUCUUUUAAAAAAUUAAAAUGUGAAAUUGAAUGAAUAAUACAAAAUAUAAAACUAAAUUUGGUUUAUUCAAAUGCAAACUUAAAACUAUAAUUUAAACUUCAAUUUGAAUCCAUAAAUUUAAUUUAAAUUUUAAAUAAAAUUUGAAUAAAACUUUAGAUUUUAAAUUAAAUUUAAAUUUAAAUUCAAAUUUAUAAAUUAGAUUCGAAAUGUUUGAUUGAAUUUUAAUUUUUAAUUUAUAUUUAAAUUAAAAAUUAAAUUUAUAAAUAUAAAUUUAAUUUUCCAUGAAAAAUUAAAUUUAUAUUUAAUUUUUUCAUAAAAAAUUAAAUUUUUCAUGUCCAAUUUUUUUUUUCAGAAAAUUUUUUUUUCUAUAGUUUUACAAGAAACCAAACACACUUUUAACCAAACAAACCCUUUCCAAACAAACCCUUAUGUAGUACAAUCCAAGAACUGACGUGGUAGAGCUGGUCCUCCCAUAAUUUCUUUUCCUGUAUACGCAACUCCGAACCGAAUGUUCCACAACUUACCUUCGCUGCUGCUGUUGCUGCACUCGGUCACACACUUCCAUGAUGGCCACCCUAACUUCUCCUUACCUCUCCUCCCCCUUCUCUCCUCUCCUCCUCUCCCCCUCUUCCUCACCUCCACCACCACCCCACCACCACCAUCAUCAUCUCAUUCACAAACGCAACUACUUUCAGUACAAAGAAACGCCCAGGCAGGUCCCUCUCCCCUUUUACAUAACCGCCAGCCUCCUCAACGCUUCCUCUGCUGCCUGGCCGUCGAUCACGGCGGCGCUGAGGCGUCGUCCCCCCGCCGGCGGCACCGCCGCCCGCGGAGUCUCCGCGUGGCCUCGCCGCGCGGCCGGCGGCCACAUCUACCCGGCGAUCGCCAUCGCCGACGACCUCCGCUCCGCGCCGCCGCCGCCGACGCCGCCCCCAGAUUCUCUUCCUCGGCUCCGCCUCCGGCAUCGAGGCCUCCGCCGUCCCGCCGCCGGCUACGAGUUCGCCCCGUCCCCCCCUCCCGCCUCGCCCGCCCGCUCUCCUCCGCCCCUCAACUCCUCCUCCGCUCCGUCGCCGCCUGCCUCCGCGUCCUCCGCGACUUCCGCCCCGACGUCGUCGUCGGCACCGGCGGCUACGUCGCCUUCCCCGUCUGCCUCGCCGCCCUCAUCCUCAACAUCACCAUCGUGAUCCAGGAGCAGAACAGCUUCCCCGGCCUCACCAACCGCCUCCUCGCCCCCUUCGCCGCCAAGAUCUUCCUCGCUUUCAAUGCCUGCGUGAAGCACUUCCCCAAGAAAAAAUGCUUCGUGUACGGCAACCCGGUGCGCCUCGCCCUCCGGCGGUUCACGUCGAAGGUGGUGGCGCGGUCGCACUUCUUCCCCAAGGCCGGCGCCGACGGCAAGGCGGCUGAGGUCGUGCUCGUGCUUGGCGGCUCCAUCGGGUCCGCGGCUAUCAAUAUUGCGAUGCUUAACAUGUAUUAUGAGAUGCUGAUGGAGCAUAAGAACAGGUACAUCAUAUGGCAGACGGGGGCCGAGGGCUACUGCGAGAUGGAGAGCCUCGUGAAGAACAACCGCCGGUUGCUGCUCGCCCCGUGAGCUCUCUCAUUCUCUAUGCUUCUCUAAUUUUGUUUGCUGGUUAUUAUGAUCUUUGUUUAGUUGAUCAACUAACACCAUUCUCUGAGCAUCUGCUCAGUGCCAAGAUAUAAUGCAUGAAAGGGAUGGCAAGAGGGAAACUGCAAAUUGGGAAAAGUAAUGGCAUAGUGAUAAAAGUCCCGUUGCAGAUGAUUUCUUUACUUUGGAGUUGCUAGUUAAUUUUAGAAAUAUACGAAUAAACGAGUGUUCUCUCCGUCUUUAGAUUUUCAAACUUUGCGAGUCUUGUAUCUUGUGACAGUGAUGAACCCAAACCGUUAGAAAAUAUUUUAGGACACUGAUGCGUUGAUAGGAUGGCUUACUUAUGAACAUUGUUAGUGAAUUUGCUUCAUAUCUGUAUUCUAAUUGAAUUUAGCUUUUUCUUAGUCCAAUUAAGUAGUUUGUGCUUUGCUUACUUUGGCAAACUCUUGAUCGCUGUUAGAUCUAACGUAUAAACUCAUAAUAUUAGAUCAUACCAGUUCGAAGCGCGGAAUUAAUUGGCCCACAAUCUUCACCAUGCUAGAUUCACAGGUCCUUCAGUCUCUGCGUGUCGUAGAUCAUCAUACGGAGUCCUUCGGAUCUCCUUCGUGGUUGGGAAUCUACUUACAUGAAGUAGAUUUAGUAUUCCACGACACAAGAAACUAUUAAAACAGAAAAGGUGACUGUGGAAGGCUUUUAGAUGAAGGGGAAAAGUUUUUCCUGGUCCUCGCAAUCAACCCACGUUUUGCCCAAUAUAGCCUAUAUUGAUAGGUAUCUAGAUGGCACUCUUUGGAGUCAGAAUGAAGACAUCAACCCAUACAAAUAAUGGUGUAGUUUAUACCCCAGGGUCAUUCGGGCACAUCAGAUCAAGCAGCUUUUAAUCCCUCAAGGAAAAAGUGUGCUCAACCCCUUACAAACCUCGUAUGUAUUCACAAUCAUAUCCUAGCUUCCUCAAAGCGCCAUGAUUGGCCGACUAGUGAAUCCAAGUGAAUGAUGCGAUUCCAAAUUUGCCUUCCUAUCGCCCGAGUGCCAUUAGGAUCUGAACUAUUCGCUUUCCUAGUAAUGCUCCUUGAGGUCGAAGGUCGAAUUAAUCAUGACCAUAAACAAACGCUCUAAAGUAGCGGACAUUAGUUCUUCACUUCAUGACAUAGUCAAAAGUCACAAAGGGUACGCUAAUUGAGAUUAAACUCCAGCACUCACAUAGUGGGGAAGCAGGGAUCCAUUCAUUCACUUCUUGAUAGAUCGUUAAGCACAUGCAGCAUGAAAUGCAUGUUAUGGUGGAGCUACUCUUACCAAGGAGUGUAUGUCUUUCUCUAAACACCUUAUGAGUUGUAGUCUAGGCAUGCCACUUAAUUAACUCGAGUUCUUUAUUGACUCGCUUUCAAUAGCGCCAAAAGAAGUCUCGCACUUGGCUUCUCAUAUGCUACUUGGGUUGUAGGAGAACAUCCAUGUUGGUCUCCUACGUUCACUUAAGACCUUAUCCUGGUUUCAACUAGGGCGAUAUUUUAAUAAUUCAAACUAAGCUCACAUUCACAACGCCAAAGUUCAAACUUUUGUCUCAUCUCUGUUCGCUCAACUAGUGCCAGAGGCGAUUGCUUGCAUGAGCAAGCCAAUCUGAUCCAAUUGACAUACUUUACGAUUUGCGUUAGUUUUAACUCAUACAAAAAUUCACAAACGUAGAGGAAUGAAAGCAUUUAGAAGCAAAUCAAUGUCCAAAAGUUUUUAUUACAUGGUGGUCGAACCAAAAAACAAAAAACACAAAACAUAUUUGAUGCAAUUCUUGGGAUUUGACAUACCUCAUAAAUGAAUCCCUAGUAAUAGGCUUAGUAAACAGAUCAACAACCAUUUGAUUCUUGGUGAUAUGCUUCAAGACCACUUGCUUCUGCUUAGCAAUGUCUGUUAUGAAGUGGUACCUCACAUCUAUAUUCUUGGUUUUGCCAUGGUAUUUGGGGUCCUUUUCAAAUGCUAGUGCAACUAAACUAUCACAGUAAGUCGUUACUAGAUUGGUUGCGUGAACAACCAAGAUGCAGCAAAAACCUCCUUAACCAAAUGGUCUCUUGCACAGUGUUGCGUGCCGAAUUCCCUGACCCUUGAUCUAGUCAAAGAUCCUCCUUGGGGAGCAUGUCGGGAUGAAAAACGGUUGCCGAUAGUGACCCUCGAAGUUUGCGCCUUUCGGCUGGAUCAAGCGAUUCGGCUGAUGAGGGAUCGGAUCAGCCGAGUUCGAAAACUUUAUUAAAGAUUAGGUUCGGCUGGAAUGAGCCGAAUGUACGGACCAGCUACAAAUUUGACUCGAUAGAUGAGCCGAAUAGAAGAAACACGCACCAGUUGGUCGGCUUGAAGAUCCGAAAGCCUUGGAAAUUACGCUUGAGGAAAAGUACAAGGGUUGAGUGUGCCGGAUGGCAUACAGACUCGGUUGAUCUACUUAGGAACUACUUCUAGGGAAAAACAAUAAAUGCGGGAAAGUAAAAGUUACAAGUAGACUACUCCUAGAAAAUGCAGGAAAUUGCAAGGAAUAAGGGCGGUCUUUUGUUCACAGGGAAAAGACCCCUUUUUAGGGCGUUAUUGACCUAUUUAUAGAUCGCCCCUUGUGAUCAGUUAUUACCUAUACAUGAUCGGCCAUUAUUCCUGAUUUUUUGGACCACUUUCAGCCGAUCGGAACCACUUGCAACUGCUUGCGGUUACUGUAACCUCCCUUAAUUCGCGUAGCUGUUCGUUCCUUAAAAACCCUUCCGAUGCUCCCGGUGUACAGCAAGAUUGCCACCUUUAAAUGGAAUAUUGGCGUUCCACCUGUCCGCGCCUAAUUGGCUCAACACACAGCAACUGAUAAUACCACAUAUUUGGCCUCCAUGUCAGACAAUACAACAUCGGACUGCUUUUGCUACUGCAUGAUAUGGCGCCAUUGUUCGGCAAAAAAACAUAUCCUGUCAUCACAGUCACCUCCCCAGUCGGCAUCACAGUAGCCAAGUAGGUGCAAAUCUCCACCUUCGUAACGCUGCUUGCAGUCACACGUGUAGUUUUUGUGACCGACACACAUCGGUACGGCACUGCACACACCGUGCAGGCAAGUUUUCGUUACGACCUCGUGCCGGCAAGUUUUCGUCACGACCUCGUGCCAUGACGCUCAAAUCCUUGGUUUUGAUGACGUCGAUCUUUUGUAGAUAAUUCUUUUUUUUAGUAAUGAAGUGGACCAGCUCCUUUUGUAUAGACGGAAGGGAGGAGAAGAGGGGCGUGACUUACAUAUGAGGUUUCUGCCAUCUUGUGAGGAAGGGACCUAUGCGUGUGUUCUUCAUGGAUAAGUCAAUCUCAACGGUCUUCGUCCUCCAAUGAUUGAUGUAACAUCUACGAAUAAAAAAAAAAGAGAAAAAGAGAAGAUAGAAUAGGUAAUAGGAUUCCCCAUGGAAUUGCUCUGGUCAGAAUUUCUCUGUAUUUUGUCUCACACAGAGGAAAAGUUUGCGAGAAAAUUUGUCCAAACAAGAUUUUUCGUAAUUCUUGAAAACACAAAUUGCAAUGAAGCUGAUGGCUCAUAUUUACAAAUAUUCCUAGCCCUAUGUUUCUUAAAAGGAUAAGAAGAAAAGGAAACUAAAUCAAAUUGAAACUUCCCCAAUUUUGUAAAUCCUAAUCAAAUCUCAAGUCAAAUCUAACUAGAAUCAUAAUUUUAAUUGAAUUACAAAUAGAAUCCUAAUCAGAUAAAAUAAACAAAAUAUCCAAACAUAAAAACAAACUCCCAAUUACAUUCUAUAAUCUAUCAGGCUCCAAUUUGGGAGGAAAUUGUUAUAGUCAAAUAUGAUUCGACUCGGGCUCGAGCUCAAUGGCUGUUUCCUCAUCACUCCACCUAUAAAGACUUUGUACUCCAUAGAAUCUCUUCAAUACCUCAUUCAAGUUUUCUUAGAAUUAGUUCCUGUUGGCAUCGUACAGUAUCAUUUUUAUUACAAUGCAAUUAUUAUAUUGAUUGCCUUUUGCCUAUCGCUAAUUUUAUGCACAAAAUGCUAUCACUUCCUGUUCACUAUCAUAUUCUCUUCCUUUCCACUGUUAUAACUCAUAUCUAAUACUUGUAUCUGUUAUAAUUCCUACUCUAUUUUUGCUUUUAUUCCUCCCACCUUUCCACUAUUACAAUCUCAUCUCUAAUACUUUUGUCUACUAUAAUACCUACUCUAUUUCUACAUUUACUUCUCAUUUCACAUUUUCCACUAUGAUUGGGUUUUGGUGCAGCAUCUCACUUGUAAGGAAUUCUUCAACUUGAUAUGUAUGUUUCUCUUUCAUUUUCAUGCUAACUUAUUGAGUUAUACAAAGGCUGUUAACCUAUUGCAACCAUCCAGUCUCUAGUUUGGGACAUCUAUUGCUGGUUUUUUGAUUGGACAUUAUCCUCUAAACCAUUAAUUUUUAUUGUUUCACACUCUUCGUUUUAUUUCAUCAAAUCUUAGGGGGUGUUUGGCUUAGCUUUUAAAAAGUGCUUUUGGGUUGAAAAGUGAUUUUCGGCUCAAUAGAGCGUUUGGCAACCUCAUUUUUAAAAUCUGAUUUUAUUUUUCAGAAUCAGAAAAUUGAUUUUGAAGGCCUCAGAAUCAGAAGCAUAAAAAAGCUGCUUCUUAAAAUCUGAUUCUGAUUUUGGACACAAACUUCAAAUUUUUAUUUUAAUUUUAAAUCAAUGUUUAAAUUUAAAUUUAAUUUUAAAUUUUAAUUUUCAGAUUCAUUUUUGAAUUUUUAAAUUUUAACUUNNNNNNNNNNNNNNNNNNAUUUUUAAAUUUAGAUUUAUAUUUUUAAAUUUUAAAUUUUAUAUUUUAAAUUUCAUUUAAAUUUUAAAUUUAAAUUUUAAAUUUUAAAUUUUUUAAUUUUUUUAAUUAAAAUAUCAAAAUUUAAAUUUUGUAACAAUUUUUUAAUUUAAAAAUUUUAAUUUUAAUUUAUAUUUAAAUUUAGAUUUUAAAUUAUUUUAAAUUAAAAUUUAAUAAAAAUAUUAAUAUAUGCAAGCAUCAAAAAAAUUUGUCAAACACCUUUUCAAAAUCACUUCAGAAAAUUCGCUUUUAUCUAAACUCUGCCAAACGUUCUACAGCUUUGAACCAAAAUCACUUCUCUAGACCAAAAUCACUUUUUCAGAAAUCACUUUUUCAGAAGCUAGGCCAAACGGGCCCUUAUUCUUCCUUGGAAGGUUGUUCACGCUAAGUAUGUCUAUCUAGGGUUUUUAUCUAUGUGUAUAUGUGUUGGGGAGAGGCAUAGUGUUAGGAAUCCGCCGCUUACACUAAUACCAGAUUUUCUUUGAUACUAGUUUGUUAUGAUAAAAGUGGAAAAGAUUUAGUUCGUCGGGCGCGAAAAUGCCAAGAGAGAAUCGAGAAAGAGAGAAAAAAAAAUAAAGCACACAUAUAUAUCCGUGGUUCGGCCGCUGGCCUAUAUCCAUGGGCGAAGACACAUUGGAGAUCUUCAUUAUAUUAAAGUGGUGUACAAAAUAUGCCUCUCUCAUAAAACCAAGUCCCAAAAAUACAUCCAUACUCUCUCUCAUCUGCCGCACCAAAUCAAUGGAAUAAAAGGCAUAUUUAUAAUAGUGGCUAAAUCCUAAUACAAUUAGGAAUACAAAUCUACUAUGAUCAGGAAUAAUCUCAAUUAGAUUAGGCAUAAUCUAAACUUAACUUAAUGGGAUAACCAAAACAGAAUAGGUUUGGAAAACCUUGCGCUUCCAGAAUUCGAGUCAUCUAACAGGUGGCGUGUUUUAUUAUGAAGUGUGAGUACUACUUUGUUUAAGUGGCUGGUUUACCCUAUAUGCCAUUUUUUUUUCAACUCCAAUCUUGAUCUACUACUUUUUCUAGCAUUUGUUCCAUUACUUGUGUUUUACAGCUUAGAUCUGGUCUUAUUUGUGAAGGUUCUUGAAUGCAAUGGACAUGGCUUACGCUGCUGCUGAUGUUGUCGUUUCAAGAGCUGGUGCAAUGACUUGCACUGAGAUAUUGGCCACUGGGAAACCGUCAAUUCUGGUACUAAGAAAACUAUCCCAUUCUAUUGUUUAGACAUUGUAUUCGUAAUUCCCUAUCUAAUAAAAUUAAGCCAUAUUAUUGUUUAGACAUCAUAUUCUUAGCUCCUAUCUGUUCUUGUGUUAUUAAGGAAACAUAAUGCAUAACAGCACAAGCAUUUUAUACUUAUUCUCCACUUUAAGUUUGAAUUCCUGUUAUGGAAAGCAAUAGAACUAAAAUUUCUUUAUAAAAUAAGUGGAAUUUUCGAUAUUCUUGUAUGCAGAUACUAUUUAUAACCCUCCCCAUUGAUGGGAAAAAGAUAUAUAGGCCAUAAAUCAUGUAGUUAGGUUUGGAGAUGAAAAAUUUAGAGGUCCAUUUUUGGCUAGCACUGUGUAUAUUUCAGAAUUCUCUACUCAUUUAGAGUGUUGCUUUUAACUAGUCAGAAAAUGUUAAUAUACCAAGUCAUCUUUAUCAUGAUUUUUUUCUCUUCGAUUUCCUAGGCCUAAAUUUUAUGAAGUACCCUUUCUCUUCAAAGGGAAAAAAUCCAGUUUGUACAUUAUACAUUCUUAUGUGUUGAGCCUAGACGUGAGGGGGAGUGUUGAAUAUAAAUAUUAAAAACACUGUUCGUUGACAGCUAAAGCUUUUAGAGAAAAAUGGUUGUUUCACAUAAUUCAACAUUAUGUACUGCCAAUUAGAUAUUUUGUUGAAGCAUUUUUAAAUAUUAUUUUUGCAUACAUUGAGAAUUAUGCAAUAUUUCUAUUGUUAAGUCAUAGCUUCUUGAUCAUUUAACUAGAUCUUCAUUCUGAAGGAUGUUUUAACUGUGGGGAAAUUUAGGGAGUGGCAGUAGCCCAUAAUCACUGCAACAUCAACUAUGUUCGUCCUUAUGUUGAGUCCCUAUAACUCAGAUUAAAUGUGCAACCCAAUUGUGCAUACAUAUCACUGAACUUAUGUUUUAUUUAAAAUCACUCUCAUAAUAUAAGUAAAACAAAUAAAAGCAGCGCGUUGAAGGAAUAUUUAGCUAGUUGAUAUCUGUAUUUGAACAAAUUUUUCUAAAAACUAAUGUUGGACAUUUCACGAAGAACCCUUAAACUAAUUCUGCAAAGUUUGUAUCAAACAUUGCAUUACGAAGCCCUAGAUGCUUGCUGGGUCAGAUGACAGUACUCAAAUUCUAAUACUUGUCUGUGUCCAAAUCAUCAUUCCUAAGAUGUGCUUUUAGCAUUUGGAGCCUUCAUUCUCUCAUCUUGUAUGUUCAUAGAUAAUUUAAUACGCACAUUGUAUUUAGCAAACCUUUACAUCUGUAUUCUUACAUCUUCUCUUUUUAACUACUACUUGUCUUAUUAUAGAUUCCCUCGCCUACAGCUACGGAUGAUCAUCAAACAAAAAAUGCAUAUAUUAUGGCAGAAGUAGCUGGAUCAAAGGUCUUAACAGAAGAUGAGCUUGAUUCAAGUAGUCUUGCAACUGCAAUUGAUGAAAUUUUAGGUAAGUUAGAAGUCUUCUUUUUAUAUCUGUGUGCUUUUAGGCUAGCAAGCUACAAAACUACCAGUCUUCUUUCCAUAAGAAUAGAAGGAAUUAGUAGAUCAUGUUAUCAAACUAAAUAUUGGUAUAUCAAUCACAGACUUUGUACUUGGUGCCAAAAUUUAUUGGUUUCUUUUUUUAAAUUUACCAUCAGUACGCAUAUAUUUAGAUAUUCCUCUUUUAUCAAAUUAGAUGUUUGACUUGUUAUAUGCAACCGCGAUGAAUAACUAGUACAUUCAUUCAAAUUGCAAGCUUUUAAUGGAAUCUAUAACCUAUAUUAGCAGACUAAUUUUCCGUAGGUUCCCCCAAGCAAGGUUGAUGUCAUUGAGAAUUCAUGCAGAGCUUGAAUUAGGAGCUUUUUUUUUCCAGAUCUCCUAAAAUGGUUUGUAAAAUACCAGGGGCAUGUCAAAAGGUCCGAAAAGGAAGUCGAGAAUCUAGAGUUAUUACUUCUCUUUCUUUUCUUGAGAGGUUAGACUAUCUUAAACUUUACCUAGGUUACAUGGACAAAGACACAAGACACGACAUGACUCAAACUCAACGACUUGGCAACUCCAAAAGAAAUAGGACACGGACACGGACACGGAAAGGACACAGUUAAUAAUAAUAGUAUUUUAAUAUAAUAAUGCACAUUUAUCAUGUAUAAAACAUCAAAUUAGUGAAAAUAUUGCUACAUUUCUCAUACAAAUGAAGGAAUAUAUAUUUCUUAUUCAUAGUUCAUCUAUUUAGUGAAAGGAAAGAAGUUUUUCACUAUCCACAUUUAAUCUAUAUCCUCCAAAUGAAUUUGUGUAUGGUCCCCAAAAGGCCAAAAUGUUUACUACCUCCUAACUUAUAUGCCCAAAAAAGAGCAAAAUAAAAUGUGUAUUAUUAUCUAUUUUAGUGUGAUGAAGCUUCAACAUCUUCAUCAUCAUCACCAUUGACAUCAUCGGUAAGCGUAAACUUCUCCAACUCUGAACCAUUGAGUGAAAGAUUAGCCAACUCAAAAUACUGAUGUCAUCAAAAGAGUAGAAACUAUUAUUAGUGAUAUUUUACAUAUUAGUGUCUCCUUGAUGUUGUAACUUUCUUCCUGACAAAAGAUGCAAGUUGGUAUGAAGUAUGAACAAAUACUAGAUCUUCUGCAUGUUAUGGUGCUAAGUUUUCUUCUCAAAGGAAUAAAUUCUCCAAUUCCUCUCACAACAAAGAGGAGGAACUAGGGUGUCUGAAUAAUUUGAGAGCAAGAGUUUGUAUAGUAGGUGCAUGUACACUAUGAAUAAGCGAUCAUGACUUGGCAUCUAGUACUUCUUUAUCAUGGAGAGACUUAUCACACCUGGACCUAAUUUUUCAAAUCCGGAACCUGACAACUGGCCACAUACUUAGAAAAUAUUUUUCCCUAAGCAUGAAAGGCCAAAUACAAAGUUCCUUUUACAUAUACUUUCAUAAAACAAAAUAUAAAACUCUUCAAAGUAAAACUACCAUAUGCUUCAAAACAAAAUAAAAUAAAUCGUUCAAAUAAAAAUAUAUUCAAAGUCCUCUAUGUCCUUAAACUAAUGUCACAUCCUCUACCGUAACCAUUCUUCCUGACUUCCUACCUGAUACUGUCAAAAACCCUUUGUAAGUGAACAUUCUUCAAGAUUUAUGACCAUCAAACAGUAAUGAGAUAAACAAAAUAAUUAGCGGAAUAGUAUUAUGCGUCAUAUAAAUACAAGGAAUAGUAUUAUACUAUUAUGCACUUUGUCGUAUGCAUAAUUUAUUCUUAUAUUCACAAGUAACCAUAUAACAUCCACAAAUUGUCAUAUUCACAUUUUCAAUUAUUUUCUCAUUGUUUCUCAUUCCUGAGGCUCCUGUCCCAGAACGAAUUAGUUCCCAUUUCCCGAGGCUCGUCUCCCAAAGCAAUCUUCUUUUUUUUGAGUUAAUUCCCAAAGGCGCAUACACUCUCUAGAGAUCCCAACUCCCGAAGGAGAAAUAAUUUUCAUUGCCCAUAUCCUCUAUAGAGUUCCCAAGAUUCAUUUUUUUGAGUGUAGUAGUUCUCAUUCCUGAGCCUCUUUUUCCAGAGCAAACUCCUAUCCCGAAGCGAGAUUGAAUGACAACUCCUCAGUGUAGAUGCCACACUCCAGUACAGAAGCCCAACCAAGAGAGCGACAGAUCCAUUGCACGGACAAAGUCUUCUCCCAUACGUGCAAUGUGUCGGGUCAAAACAGCCUCUACAACAAUUUUAUAAUUUGCAUAAUACAAAGAAAAACUCUUCGAGUGAGUCACUUACGCUACUUACCUAUUUUAAACACAGUUGGAUACCAAAAUUUUAAUAAUUACAAAUUCUUCUACUUAUCAUAAACCUUUCUUAGCUUCUUUAAAAUCAUACUAAUCACAUAAAGUUUAAUUAAAUUAUAUAUUCCAAUAUUCAUUCCAAAACUAGCAUUUUUAAAGUUUUAAUACUUAAUUCUUUAACUUCUAAAAUACUACUAACAAAAUUCAGAGCUAUUUAGAUUCUAGCUAUUUUCUUGCUUUCUCACCAUCUGGUCCGCUACCACUAUCUAAAGCAUUACCUAUAUAAAAAGAAAUGGAAGAGGGGUGAAAACUUUAUAUAGUAGUUUUUAGUAGGUACAACUACAAAAAGAGCUGAUAUGUACUCACUAGGUCCAAUUACAGGUAUAAUAGAAACAAGCAAAAGUAACUGUAUAAGUGAUGACAAUAGAAAUUAGAUAAAUAGUGAAAUGGAUAGUAACUAUUCAAAGAAUACUAUGCCUCUACUACCAUUACAAGUUAUGUCACGCGCCGAGCUACAGGGGAAGCCUCCGGGUACACCAACAGUUUGUCGUAUGUAGUAGGACGCACCCUGCGUAUACGAAGCGUCUACAACUAACCUGUCCAAAAUAUGUAACAUAAGUGUAUAUAUAUAAAACAUGUAUCAGCGUCUAAGUACCACUAUACAAAUAUAGCUAUUACUGUACAUAGAUCAUCCAUACAACUCCAAAAUAAUAUACAACUCUGUCGGCCUCCUCUGGCUCAAUAUGUGCAGUCAGCUAUAUAGAUAUACAUCAGGUGGUCCUCCUCUAGCAUAUAUCUGGGUAGGAUAUGCUAUCUAGCUCGCGAUCUUUCUACCUCGAUCGGUUGCCGGCAUUGAGGGCUCUAAAAUAAAAACAAUAAGGGUGAAAACUGCUGAAAAAUCGUUUCUAGUGGGUACAGUCGACGAUAGCGACGACCUACACCACUAGGUAUAUCAGAGUUUCAAUAGUAAAAACUGAACUGAAUAAAUAAUGAUAUACUGAACUGGAAUAAACAAUUGCUAUUAUCAACUGCUAUUAUGCCUCUACAACUAAAUAUUGGAAAUUGUAAAUCAGGUAUCAUAUGCAUCAAACUGAAAUAAUUGAUAAUGAUAACCAAUGCCAUAUUACCCAUUCGCAUUGACCGACUUAACAAGUCCGGUCAAGCCUGUGCUGUCUCAUGUCCAGCCCCCACCUAUUGUGGUUCGCUACCAUGUAGCUCACUGUCACAAUUGUCUCACUAGGCUAACCUCCGAAAGGCCAUUGGCAGGGUAAGACCCCAACCGAGUAUUAAUAUUAAUAUCAUAUCACAUACGCUGUCAAGCUCAAUUUGACUUUGCAGACUAUAGUCAUAUUUGAUGAUCAACAAGUCAUAAUCAUACUAUGAUGAUCAACGAGUCAUAAUCAUACUAUCAUGUGCCCCCUUGGCUCUUUCAUAUCAUAUCUCACCGUCUUUUAUAGUUUAUUUGCCCUUUCGCAUUUUUUUUCAAUUUUCCACGUCCUGUGCUUCCUGGCACCUUUUUACAUUUUCUCACAUAUUGCAACACAUAAAUAUGAACGCAGAAAAAUUGGUCUCAAAAGAUAGAAUACAGCUCAAAUAUGUUGACAGUGUACUCAACGAAGUAAUGAAUUCAAUUCAACCAUGAUCUCUCUAUCACAGUCAAAGUAGAUGUUACAGUAUUGCUAUCAUGAUCAUAAUUAUACCAAUAAGAUCAUCUACAUUUCACAAGAAUAUGCGACAUGUAGACAGUGAUUAGUUCGCCGAUUUCGGUGUGACAAAAUACCCAUCUAGUAGACGCUGCAAAGAAGGCAAAGAGGGUACGCUUGACACCCCUCAACAGCACCACCAACACUAGCAACAAAAAUCCAACAUACUCAACUCUUGAUCAUACAACCAUGAUACUCAAUUACCAACUGUUAUACUACAAUUAAUUAUACUCUUGCUUUCAAUCUUUAAACACAUCUGUCACUUACCUCAAAUCCAAUAUACUCUCCUGCUCACUCGACAGUAACAAUCCGCAGCUGCGUAUGCUCCUUAGAUCACCAACAAGAACAGGGAUCAACUUCUGGGCCCUCCUAAUAAGAGCCCUAAACUUAGUUAGGAGGAGAAAGAUAGGAGAAAGUAAAGAAGAAAAGGCUGGUUAGUUGGUAGAUGAAGAAAGAGAUUUAUAGGUCUAUAACAAUGGCAAAAGAGCCCUCAAACAAUCCACAGAUGCCCCUCAGUCCAGAACAAGAUUCGGGCGCCCGGAACCAUAUUCAGGCGUCCGAUUCCUCAUAGUUCAAUGGUUUCAGGCGUCCCCUGUUGCAAUCGACCACCCAAAAAUUACGAAGCACUUCUAGCUCAGCCUUUCGGGCGUUUGAAAACUCACGUAGUGACUCACCAGCUCACUGCUUGCUGCCUUUCACAACCUUAUCCUCAAACUUUCUGGCAGCUACAGUGCCUCCGGGCGUUUGCAACCUCGUGUGAGCACUGAUUUCACCCUUUCGGACCAACUUGCAACACAUAUGGGUGUCUGAAACCUCCACUUGAAUAUUUCAGGUGUCCAGUCCACCAUCUAGAUCAUCCGAAUCCAUCUAUCUCCUCAACUGAAUUUUUGCGUGCCUACAAAGUCUUCCAGGCGUCCGGUAAUACUCUGAAACCCAACUUUCAGUGUAAUUCACUUCUAAGUUCCGUUUCCGCAUCAAUUUUGAUCCAAAGCGAAUUCAACGCAACCCAAAGAUCUCCAGAAGUGCUAAUCAGCAUCGCAUAUUGCGACCUUGCUAGUUUGCAAAGGUCUAGUAUAUUACAAGUUAUCUGUCUCAAGAGUAUGAAAAACUAAAGUUUAAGAUAUUUUGCAUCAAUUAUCCUGACAUCGACAAAUAUUAUGAUUAUUAAUCUAAUCUUAUUAGCCUACCAUUAGGACUCAGCCUUAGAGAUAUAAACCAUUCCACUAUGGAGGGAAGCACCGUAUUUAGGGUUGUAGUCUCUUUCUAAGAACAACAUAUAUCUUACUUAAGAUGGAAACUCACGGUUGCGAACCUUGCCUAAAAGUAACACCCCAGGGCUGAAGUACUCGGUGCUGCGAACCUUGUAUAGGAACAAUAGCUCUAUGCAUGUGUUCGAAGCUUCUAAACAACUUUUGUUUCCAGUGAUUUUCUAUAGUACAACACAUAUCUGAUGAGGAGCUAACAAUAUGAUGCGGUCAAUUUAGCAUUAGAGUUCAUGGAAAAGCAUGAUUCAACCAAGUUGAUUCGAAAAUCCCGUUGAGUUCGGCAAUUUUUACUAUCGGCACGGAAAAUCUAUAAACGGCCAUAACUUUUCGCUCUGGGGUUCAUUUUCAGCGUGCAACCCCAAUUUGGAGAACACUUUUUGAGAUCUACGUAUCGAAUGGCAAAGCCGUAUCGGUCGAGUUUGGGACUCAAAUUCAACUGUUUAGGCUUUCUUUUUUGUAUUUUUAAGUUAUUUUUGGAAAGUCUUGUAUUUUUUCUAUUUUGAGUCUGGUUAUUUGGUUAUUUCUAAUCAAUUUAGGUUUAGAGAUAUAUUAGAAUUUGAAGAUAUAUAUUAGAAUUUGUUAUCUUCAGUCAUAAUAGGAUUCGAAUAUCCGACCCUAUAUAUACGUGGCGUUCGGGUAAUAUAACUAGUUUUUAGAGUUGAUUAAUAAUUUUUUUCCUAUUUGUUGAAGAAUUGUGUUCUUCGUGUAUCUCUCUCUUUCCGUUCUUAUGCUUCUUCCCUCUCAAAGCUGCUUUGACUUGUGUCACUAUUUCUUUUAUAACGCAACGUUUCAUUGACACCAACUAGCAUGCUUACUUUAGAAAACAACAAAGAAAGAAAUAACACAUAAAGAGCAUAAACUAUCAAUAGAAUACAUGCUUUUCGGCAUAAUGAAUUGAGAAUAUAGAGCCAGAGUAAAAGAAUUAUAACAAAGAACUAAGAUAUGGAUUAUGCUGAAAAGAAAAUUAUUAGAUAUAUUGAGAGAUCAAAGCACCAUUAGGAUUAGCUUACCCAACCUCAAUUAGAGUAGUCCUCACUAGUUUGCGAUUUUGAGGUGUCUUGUUAGUUCUCCAAAACAUACAUAAUUCAGUGUCUUGUUACUUCUCCAAAACCUACAUAAUUCAUGUUCCUAGUUAAGUAUUCUAACUAGUUGUAUUGGAUUCAUUUUUCAUAUUAUUCUAGAUUGAACAACUACCUUAAAAGUUUUAAGUCCUUACUACUUGCUAAAAUGAGAAUUUUAUCAUUCAUUAAUUUUUCAUGAUUUGAGGUAUAUACAAACCCUUCAUGCAUAAUAAAUAGUCAUUUCCAUGAAUUUCAUACAAACACGCUUUAAAUCUAAAUUUUGAAGCUUAGAAUAUCAAUUCUAACAAAAUAAUAUUUGCAGGAAACAUCAAAUCCAAAAAUAACUAGAUAAUUACCACUAAUCUUAACCUUAAAAAUGAGGAAAGUUUUUCAUUGUAAUUACCUCCUUAAAUACCUGUUUCAAAUCACCUAACAUACGAAAACUCCAAAACUUGAAAAUUUACCCUCUUGGCUCAAUCAAAUUUUCAUAGAGUUUCAAGAUCAUCUGGCCUAUUAAAAUAAUUAUUCUUUCAUUUUUAUUUACUCUGAUUAACUGGUUAAGAGAUCCCAUCAUCAGGUUGUCACAGAAUAUUAGAGUCUUAGAAUCAUGACUAGCUCCUAUAAACAUUGUAGGAAUUUUCAGAGAUUGUUUCACCUAUAAGCUUCUCAUGCUAAAAUUCAAUUACUACCGAGUUUAUGCAACCCUGAUUGGUCAUAAAUAAAUAAUAAAGUCUAAAUUAGAACUGGAUACUGCAGUAGAACAUUCUAGCUAUCAAACUAUGUGAUUUGUUCGCGAGCUUGUAAACUGACUGCUUUUUCUAGUGGCGUGUUUGCGCUACCCUUUCUCUCAUUGCAAGGAAAACUCUCAAGUGGAAACUAAUCUUAGAAACUGUACAGGAGACAAGAAUCUAAUGGCAGAGAUGUCUGAGAAGGCACUAAGUGUGGCACGGCCGAAUGCAUCUGUUGAAAUUGCUCGAUGCAUUCUAUCCCUUGUCAACAAGCCCACUCCAAAGUGAUGAGCUGAAAAAUCUCUUGAAAAAGGGUUAAAUUUAUUCCAAUAGCUUCUUUGCUAUAGUUGCUCAUUUAAUUACAUUUGUUGUUGUUUUAUAUGAGGAAAUUUUCAUGUGGUUCUGGAGCACGGGAAGUAGGGUAGGAACUAGAAUAAUUUAUGUUAAGCUGUUAAAGCAUCUAGCUUUUGUGAUUUUGGUCUCUGUUAGAUGUGCUGGACAACUAUGCAUGUUGGGUAACACAUGUAAGAUGUAUCUACUGUUAGUGAGAAAAUGUCUUUUUGAGAAUCAGAUAUUUCAGUAAAUUCCAGAAUGUAGCAAUUCAUUGAAGUCCUAUUGCUGAAUGUUUACCAUUUGUGGAAACUGAUGCAAGUAGAAACAAGAGAAAGAAGUGAAAUCAGAAGCACCGUUAACACGGCUUGUUCUUUACUGUUAAGAAACGACAGUUAAGAGGUAAGAUUCUGCUGCAAUCUAUAAUUCAUUGUCUUUUGACUGUUGGGUUCUUCCUUAUUCGUCCGAACAACUAGUUAGGAUGAAUGUCUAUGAAUGUUAUUUGAAGUGCUUGUAAUUCCUUAUGCCAAAAAUGAUCUCCUCCAACACCACAAGCAAAUAUUACGACUAAGAGAAGGGAAAAGAACACAUGUUCCACCCUAUUAUUCGUAUACGAAACAUAUGUAUCUGCAUGUAUUUAAUUCAGUUCGUUAAUACAUGUUGAAUAUAUUUAAGAGGUGGACUUGUAUUGGUAAUUAGAGAAUAUGUUGCUUGCAUGUGAUAUUGUGAGACAAAGUGUUAGAUAAUUUGUUGUAGGUGUUUCUGAUGUUUUAGAUGAUACAACUAGGUAUAUGAAUCUCUCAGUGAUCAAGGUCAGAAUAAUUGACUCAUAAUAUGUUCCAGAUUAUGACAAUGAUUGGAAUGUAUUUUUAAUAAAUUUUUUUCUUUGUUCGAGUAUAUAAUAAUUUUUGGAUGAUAAAAAUCUGUUAAGAAACAACAGUUAUCGAAUAUAUAAUAAUUUUUGGAUGAUAAAAAUCUGUUAAGAAACAACAGUUAAGAGGUAAGAUUCUGCUGCAAUCUAUAAUUCAUUGUCUUUUGACUGUUGGGUUCUUCCUUAUUCGUCCGAACAACUAGUUAGGAUGAAUAUGUCUAUGAAUGUUAUUUGAAGUGCUUAUAAUUCCUUAUGCCAAAAAUGAUCUCCUCCAACACCACAAGCAAAUAUUACGACUAAGAGAAGGGAAAAGAACACAUGUUCCACCCUAUUAUUCGUAUACGAAACAUAUGUAUCUGCAUGUAUUUAAUUCAGUUCGUUAAUACAUGUUGAAUAUAUUUAAGAGGUGGACUUGUACUGGUAAUUGGAGAAUAUGUUGCUUGCAUGUGAUAUUGUGAGACAAAGUGUUAGAUAAUUUGUUGUAGGUGUUGCAGAUGUUUUAGAUGAUACAACUAGAUAUAUAAAUCUCUCAGUGAUCAAGGUCAGAAUAAUUGACUCAUAAUAUGUUCCAGAUAUGACAGUGAUUGGAAUGUAUGUUUAAUAAAUUUUUUUCUUUGUUUGAGUAUAUAAUAAUUUGUGGAUGAUAAAAAAUUUGUUAAGAAACAACAGUUAAGAGGUAAGAUUCUGCUGCAAUCUAUAAUUCAUUGUUUUUUGACUGUUGGGUUUUUCUUAUUCAUCCAAACAACUAGUUAGGAUGAAUGUCGAUGAAUGUUAUUUGAAGUGCUUGUAAUUCCUUAUGCCAAAAAUGAUCUCCUCCAACACCACAAGCAAAUAUUACGACUAAGAGAAGGGAAAAGAACACAUGUUCCACCCUAUUAUUCGUAUACGAAACAUAUGUAUCUGCAUGUAUUUAAUUCAGUUCGUUAAUACAUGUUGAAUAUAUUUAAGAGGUGGACUUGUACUGGUAAUUGGAGAAUAUGUUGCUUGCAUGUGAUAUUGUGAGACAAAGUGUUAGAUAAUUUGUUGUAGGUGUUGCAGAUGUUUUAGAUGAUACAACUAGAUAUAUAAAUCUCUCAGUGAUCAAGGUCAGAAUAAUUGACUCAUAAUAUGUUCCAGAUAUGACAGUGAUUGGAAUGUAUGUUUAAUAAAUUUUUUUCUUUGUUUGAGUAUAUAAUAAUUUGUGGAUGAUAAAAAAUUUGUUAAGAAACAACAGUUAAGAGGUAAGAUUCUGCUGCAAUCUAUAAUUCAUUGUUUUUUGACUGUUGGGUUUUUCUUAUUCAUCCAAACAACUAGUUAGGAUGAAUGUCGAUGAAUGUUAUUUGAAGUGCUUGUAAUUCCUUAUGCCAAAAGUGAUCUCCUCCAACACCACAAGCAAAUAUUUUUUUUUUUUUUUUUUUUUGAGAGAUAGGUAGCACGCUACCCGCUUCGUUUUAUUUCAUUUAGAAUAAACUUAGCUAGAAAUGUGAAUCAACUAGGAUUUGAACUUGGGACCUCGGGUACCAACCACCAAGCCCUUUGCCACUUGCUCUAGGGAUGGUUGGUCACCACAAGCAAAUAUUACGACAAAGAGAAGGGAAAAGAACACAUGUUUCACCCUAUUAGUCUUAUACGAAGCACAUGUAUUUGCAUGAAUUUAAUUCAGUUCAUUAGACCUCUGCAGUUUAAGCUUUAAUACAUGUUAAAUAUAUUUCAGAGGUGGAUUUGUAUUGGUAAUUAGAGAAAAUGCUGCUUGUAUGUGAUAUUCUGAGACAAAGUGUUAGACAAUUUGUUGCAGAUGUUGCAGGAGUUGCAGAAGUUUUAGAUGAUACAACUAUAUAUAUAAGUUAGGGCUUUAAAUGUCUCAGUGAUCAAAAUAAUGGACUCAUAAUAUGUUGCAGAUUAUGAGGGUGAUUGCAAUGUUUUUCAAUAAUUUGUAUUUUUCUUUAUUCGCUAGAAUAUAUAGUUAUUUUUGGAUGAUAAAAAAAUGUUGAUUUGGUGUUUGAUAAUCUUUGCAUUUUAACUAGUGCGGUCUAUGGUUAGCAUGGUGGACCUGGUUGAGUUCUUGCAUCCCUAACCAAAAUUACAGUGGCUACAAAAAAGCACCAAUACACUGGAAGUGCUUGUGUGUGUGAAAUGUGAAAUGUGUGUUUCUGUGUAAAAAAUGUGUGUUCUUAUCUCCACAUCAUUCUCUCUUCCUUCUCAGUUGCACCCCUGAGAAGUAACUGUGUGUUGCGUGUGCGCACGUGCGCAUGUGUGUGUUUAAUGAAGAUGCUUGUAGGACACAACUCUUAUCUGCAUGCAUUCAGAGAAGGCUUUUCGGCUGUUUCGACGUCAAAAUAGCUGCGAAAAUGCACUUGGGACCUAUUUGAAUGCUUUGUGUUCAGCACCUCUUGUUGGUUUACGGAGGAGGGUAUGUUGUACUUGUUUGAUUGGAAAGUAUGAAAAGAUCAUGUCUACAACUGCAUUGUAUAUGCAAUACAUAAACCCUUGUUCUUCAAAUGUGACUAAUCUCCUUGUGGGUGAAACAUACUUCAAGCUCCUUGAACACACUGUUAUUAUUUAGGAUUCAUCUUUUACUCCUUAAAGGAAAUUUAGUAUGUCUGGAGAAAUCGGUUAAACUUGGUUACUAUUCAAUGAUUGGAUUUGAUUAAAUUCAACAAUUCCGGUAUCUUGGAGAUUCUCUGAAUUUUGAAGGAAUGGCCUAUUUGUUUUUUGGGAUCUUAUAGAGAUUGAACUCGUGGCUUCGAGAAAGUCGUCAACAUCGGUGACAGCGUAGUCACGAGUUUAUCUGAACUUUCACUCACAACUGUACAGAGAUCGGCCUUUCGACUUUUGUUGGAUGUUGGGCGAAGUCGAGUUUACGAAACUCCCCGGUUUCUCACUUUCCGACUUACCGGCUUUCAAAUAGGGCCAAAUUGACCAAGGAAAAAUUCACUUCGAAACAAACAGUUUCCGAGAACAUGUGCUGGUCUCUUGAUAGGUAUGAUACCUGGAGCCCAACGUUGGAUUUGACCUGCGCAUCAAGGAAGAUCAUGCGACUGAAUAGUCAAAUUUAUCUUGAAAUAACUAAAUAGUCAGAUUUAAUUUUGUAAAUCAUAGAGUAGCAAAGUGAAAAUGCGCCCUACUAGAGGGGUGCGCAUUGAAGUUUAUCCUGAAACUUAUUAAUUAUUGGUAAGAAAAAUUUAAUUUUUUGUAAAAUUUGGAUAAUUUAAAAUCAUGUCAAAGUUUAGAUGGUUGGAAAGUUUGCUCAUCCCCGAGAAUAGGUGGGCCUAUUUUAGUUUAGCUAAUACACUGAACUGCUAGAGUGGAUACCUAUUAUUAAUUAUCAACAGUUUUUUCUUUUUUUUUUUAAGAGAAAGAUAGUAUAUUGCUCGUUUCGGUUUUUUUUUUAUUUUUUAUUUUUUUAUUUUUUUUAUUAAGACACGAACUUAAUUGAAAAUGUAAAGUAAUUAGGCUUUGAGGCUGGGUCUCGGGCUAUCAACCAUUGAGCCAUUUGUCACUUGCUAAGUUGUACUUUUCAUCCCCAAACUAUGAGCCACGUGAUACUUUGAUUCUCAAACUUUAUUUUAUUGUAAUUUCUAACUUGAACUUUUUAUACAUUUGUAAUUGAAUCUUAUCAUGAUAUUUGUUUGCUGAAUGCUGAUAUGCCGUUGAUGUGGCAAUAAUAUAGCAUUUUUAUUAUUCUUAUAUCUUUUUUUGAGAAAUAGAUAGCACGCUACUCGUUUCGUUUAUUUCAUUUAGAAAUAAACUUAGCUAGAAAUGUGAAUCAACUAGAAUUCGAACUUCGGUCUCGGGUACCAACCACCAAGCCCUUUGCCACUUGCUCUAGGGACGGUCGGUUAUAAUUCUUAUAUCAUCAACUAUAAUAAUAUUAUAUUAUUGUCAUAUUAGCGACACAUUAUAAUUUAGUCAAUUAAAUUAUAGUCUGAAACUUAAUUACAAUAAUUUAUAAAAUUUGAGAAAAAAAUUAUAGUGAGUCAUAGUUUGAGGACCAUCUAACCAAAAAUAUAUUUAUCAACAGUACCUUUGGCUCUGAACAAAAGGAAAAGGACAUCUGGGGAAAAGUGCUCAAAGGUGUCAGUGAGGUCCUGUGAAGUUGUGGAAAAGAAAAAGAAACAAGCAGCAGAAAAACCCAGUAACUCUACAGGUUACAUAGCACAGGUUUGUACCAGUAUACAGUGGAGGAUCUCUAGAUUUUAGUGCAUCUUUUCUGGGGUUUUUAUCAUGUGUGAAAUUAUUCCACUCAAGGAAAUUACUGCUUGGUUCCUCCUUUUUGAUUGGUGAAUUAGGACAAAAAUUUUAGGGAUAAUUAUCUGUAUACUCUUCAUACAUUUAAAAAUAUCCGAUUUAUUCUUUUUUUUUUCUAAAAUAUUUCUCAUAUGUUCCACCGUUAUUGUAAAAUACUCCAUACAGUUAUCUUCUAUUAAGUUAACUUGCAUUAAACGUGAGUUAAAUAUCUACCACAGUUAAAAAAAAUUAAAAUACCAAUUUUGCCCUUAAUUUAAGGGUAAAUAAGAAAUGUUGGUGACGGUAGACAGGUAUAUUUGAAAGACCAAAAGACAAAAUAUUUUUUGUGUCCUUGACUUUAAGGGGAAAUAAGAAAAGUAAGUGAUGGUGGAAGGGUAUAUUUGAAAGGGCAAAAUAGUAAUUUUAUAGAGAUAAUAGGGUUCAUUAACAGAUUUUAACUCUAAGGGUAUAUUAGAAAGAGGUUGGAACGUAAAAAAGAUAUUUUCAAUAUUAGCCUUCUAAGAGGGGUAAAUUAGAAAUUUUGACUGAAAGAUACUAAAGAAUAAUGAGAAGCUCCGAGGGAGGUGAUUCUAGUUAAAGAAAGAUCCAAAAGAAUUUGUAAAGCGCAAUCAAGAUACAUGUUCAAAUUUUGCUCGAACAUUUGCUCUCUCUACAUAUAUGUGUGUGUGUGUGAAUUGAGCUGAAAUACUAUUAAUAGUAUUUGAACUCUUUUGCUAUUCAGUUUUUAACCUUUGGAUAAAAAAUUGUAGCGUUAGGAUGAUAGUUGUCCCCUAGAGUUUAGUGGUGGUUCCUCUAGGUUGAGUGGGUGGUUGGUUGAACAGUAUAAUUUAAAGGGUGGAAUUGAUUAAAGUGUAGAUUACACGCCCAAAUAGUCUCAUAUCGGAUAGACGUCAAGGUCUAAAUAGGAGAGUUUGUAACACCCCAAUAAUUCCACAUCGGAUGGAAAAGAGGUUCUGAUUUGGUAUAUAAGAGAUCUCCAUGCUAGUAAUAAUAAUUGGACUUAAGCAUUUUGGGUUUGGUGGUUUGGGCUUAAUGAGUUAUUAUUACUAGUAGGUCAGGUCGUUACAAUUAGUAUCUGAGUCGAAAGUGUGAGAGCUAAGUGCUAUAUGGGGCAAAGGGUGCUACACUAACGGGUUUGGUGGGUCACAUUGCCUGGUAAUUCUAGUUUGCAUCUAUGAUCUGGUUUGGACCUUAAGAGGACGUUAGAGUCUAAACAUGGGGAGUUUGUAAUGUCCCAAUAGUUAUAGUCCCACAUUGGCUGGGAAUAUGAUUCUGAUUAGAAUAUAUGAGGCCUACAAGUUAAUAAUAACGACUGGACUUAAGUAUUUUGGGCUACUGGUUUGGACCCAACAAGUUAUUAUUGCUAGCAGAUCAAGUCGUUACAAUUGGUAUUAGAGCCGAAUAUUAGCCAGAAGUGUGAGAGCUAAGUGCUAUGCGGGACAAAGUGUUAUACCAACAGGUUUGGUGGGAGCCACCUCUUGAACCAGUAGGAGCCUCCCUCUUGAACCCGUAGGAGCCACCUUUAGAAUCUCACAUCGUCUGAUCUGUAUAUCUAAGUUUGGACCUGAUGAGGACGUCAAUGUCUAAAUAUGGAGAGUUUGUAAUGCACCAAUAGUCCCACAUUGAGGGUCUAAAUAGGAGGAGUUUGUAACGCUUCAGUAGUCUCACGUCGGAUGGGAAAGAGAUUCUAAUUUGGUAUAUAAGAGGCCUUCGCGCUAGUAAUAAUAACUAGGUUUAAACAUUUUGGACCAGGUGGUUUGGACCUAACGAAUUAUUAUUACUAGUGGGUCAGGUCAUUACAGUAGAUUUAAUGGCUAAAAAAUCGAUAAUAAAAAGUCCAAAUAUUAUUAAUAAUAUUUUAGCUCAACUCUCUCUCUCUCUCUCUAUAUAUAUAUAUAUAUAGAAUUUCCAUAAGAAGAUUGCAUUGGACACAUGCAUAUAUAGAAAUCAUGUAUAAAAAUGGUUGCAUGCUAUGGUACUAUUUGAUUUGAUUUUUGAAAUUAGUGCAUGAUAUAAUUUGAAAUGUUAUACUUAUACCAACUGGGAGGAUUUUAGGUUCAAGAGGAAUAAUAUGUUAGAAACUUUAUAAGAAACUAGAUCGUACCUUCUGCCAUGAUUUCGAUUUCUGUACCCGAUUUGUAAGCGGCAAUCCUUACUCGUGGUUCGUCCUCGUUCGUGAUCUGCAAGAAGACGGGACGUUUCGAGUCUAAUUCCCUUAUCCCCGGAGAUGGAGCCGUCACAGACAAUUGGAUUAGGGUUAGACCGGGACUCCCGUAUGUUACAUAUUUAUAUAUAACAUAAUGUAAGGAUGUUAAAUCACGUCCGUCCAUCAAGGACGUGUCCAGAUACAUCAUAACCGUAAGAUCUAAAAUAUCUUUAUAGAUCGACUUAAAUAAAUUGACCGUAUCUUUAUGGAUCGCCUUGAAUAUAUCACGUGGGCCACAUCCAACAUGAUAAUCUAUUUCUCAACUAAUUUUCGAACUUUGCACACUAUUGCAUUAUUGUUAUGCAAUUUGUGUAAUUGCUGUAAAUUUAUGUUGUGUUUUUUGAUAAUUUUCUGUGCGUUUUUUUUUUUAUUUUUAUGUUUGUUCAAUCAAGUAUGGUUUCAACUAAAGAAAAUAGGCCAAUUUGCAUAAAAAAUCUAUUAGUUUUGAGCUUUUGUAAAAGUAGGCCGCCUUUUUAGAUUUUGCAGAUUCGAGCCGAAUUUUCAAAAAAUUGAUCAAAAUACCCUUAUUCCUUUUUCUCUCUCCUCUUUUUUUUUUUCUUUUGGUCCGGAUUUUUAAAAAACUGAUCUUUAUAUUUUUUUUUUUUUUUUCUUUCUCUCCGAAGAGGGCGGCAGAGGUGGAGAUGGAGGCGGAGGCAGCCAGCCUCGUCUCUGUCUCGUGCGUCCUCGCCCUCGGCCUCGCUCGUACACCUUCCCUCCGCCUUUUUCGCCUUCAACCCUGCCGAGGCCGCCCCUCGAUCCUCCUUUUUUUUUUUUUCCUCCGACCCUCCUCCACCGCCUCCCCAGCUCUUUACAAUAGUAAAGAGGGCAGCGUCACGUCCUUUUCCUCUCCUUUUUUUUCUCUCGUUCUUUUUUUUAUCUUUGAUCCCCCUCUAUCGCCUUCGUGACCCUUCGCGACGGUAACGAGGAUAGCGCCAUAUCCUCUUCCUUCGCUUUCGCAGACGCAGGUACCGAUGCUGGUGUCGGAGAAGGAGACUCGAAACGAGUACGGGUGAGAGCGAUGCAAAGAAAAAAUAUAUAAAAAAUAAAAAAAUAAAAGAAUAAAGAAUAAAAUAUAAGAAAAAAUAGUUUUUUCUACAAGAAAAACAAAAUAUCAAAGAGAAAAGAAGAAGAAGAUGAAUUUGCACCAUUUCAGGAGAAUGUUACAGUAUUUUAGGAAAACGUUGUACUAUUUUUGAAAAAAUUUAUACUCUUUGAGAAAAAAACAUACUUUUUUUAAAUGAAAGUUGCUCUAUUUGAACGAAAGUUACACUUUUUGACUAAAAAUUAUACUAUUUGGUCAAGAAUUACACUAUUUCUCCUCCUCCUCUUUCUGGUCACCUAGUGUAAUUUUCGGCCAAAUAGUGCAAUUUUUGUUAAAAGAGUACAACUUUCGUUUAAAUAGUACAAUUUUCAUUUAAAAAAGUAUAUUUUUUCUCUCAAAAGGUAUAAAUUUUCUAAAAAAUAGUAUUUUCAUUUAAAAAAGUAUAUUUUUUCUCUCGAAAGGUAUAAAUUUUUUAAAAAAUAGUGUAACGUUUUAAUAAAAUAGUGCAACAUUCCCCUGAAAUAGUGUAAAUUCAUCAUCUUUUUCUUUUUUCUUUGAUUCUUCAUUUUUCUUGUAGAAAAACUAUUUUUUAUAUUUUAUUAUUUAUUCUUUUUAUUUUUUUUUACUUUCUUGUCACGCUAUCAAGUCCCUUUUGAAAGGCAAUUCGAAAUCAGGCUAUCUUUAUAAAUCCGAGUAAGCGAAAAGCUGUCUCUUUUUUUUUUGAAAUCUGGACCCCAAAGAAGCGCAACAAACCCGCCACAAAUAUAAGAAAUUUUCGAAAACAAACGGCCAGAGUCUUCCUUAUAUUUGCACGGCGUAGCACAUAAUACAAUUGAACAACCCGAUCUUCAUUCACGCACACAACAAAAAGAUGUAUAAGGAUCAACUCAUUUCAACACACAGCUAGAUGUCCUUAGUAACAUCCAUUCCACAUUCAUCCUAGUAGAGCAAGUGGCAAAGGGCUUGGUGGUUGGUACCCGAGGUCCUAAGUUCGAAUCCUACUUGAUUCACAUUUCUAACUAAGUUUAUAUCUAAUAAAAUAAACGAAGCGGAUAGCGUGCUACCUAUCUCUCAAAAGAAAAAAAUAAUGAAUAACAUCCACCGAUAAUCACCAAAGGAGCUAAUGGUAUGAAUAACUGCUACUGCAAGGGAAGAUAGAGAAAAGACCAUGCAUCAACUGCAAUUGAUAGCACAAGUAUACCAAAUUUAUACUGCCGUGUUAGUUUAGGGACCUCAGGCAAACCACAACCGUUCUGUCUGGCAUAUAACCUUAACAAAUGGCCACUGGGCUCAUGGGUUGGCAACCAACCACUUUUUCGAAAAAAAACACCCUCCUGCAGGGGAUCAGUCUGCUGGUGUUCGUGAAAUGCUGUCGAGCUGUGGCGAUCGAUGUGAAUAUGAUCAAUAGCCAAUCGUCAGUGAAUAGCCGACAAUCACUGCCCCUCGGGGUAUACCGACCAAUAGGUCAUCGAACUAUAAGGGAACAUGAGUACUGACCACGCAAGUCAACUAGGAUGGAACAACUCAACAUCUUCUCAAGUAUAUACAAGUACCGACUACUCAAGUCAACUAGGAUGGAACAACUCAAUAUCCUCUCAAGUAUGUAAGUACCGACCACUCAAGUCAACUAGAAAGUACGAGGUCAACAACGACAGGAGCAUAAAGGAAUCGACCACUCUGGUAAACUAGGGUGUAUCCACGAAAAUAGACCUCUCAGGUCAAAAACGACAAGAGUAUAGGGGAACCGACCACUCUGCUCAACUGAAAAGUGUGAGAUCAAUGGCACUAUAAGUAUAUAGGCACCGACUACUCAGGUCAAUAGGAAAAUAAAUGCAAGUGUCACUACCGCUCUAUUUCUAUGUCAUGAGAAAUGGGAGAGUAUACUGAGUAGAGUAAGGGUCGAAGUCAUGUGGUGAAGAGCUCAAAUAUUGAAUAUGUAUAAGUGUAAGCAGUAAAAAAUAGGGAUGACGGGAACAUCAGCGAGCGUACACUACUGAACUGACUUCGGAUCGAAGUACUCACCUGUGUAUGUUGUCGUGUCUAGCUCCUGCGAGGUGAGGGACGCCGACCGGACCACGACUGGUCCACCGAGUCAGGAUCAAAUCCACAUGAUUCAAAACAUAUCGCUUACAAACCCAAAACGGCCUGCGAAAUCGGUUUUCCAAAACUUAUCCCGGAACUCGCCGGGAGUCUCGAAAAUGCACCGGGAUGCCCCCUGGGCCCACGUAACAUCCCUAAAAGCACCAACUCACACCGGGAGUCACCCGCUGUCCAAAAACACACCUAUUUGGGUGUUCGGACAGCAAAUACAAGUUUCGAAGUCAACUUGGUCGUUGCCGAUUCAUCAGAUUUGAAUUGUUUUACACCGUUAAAUUCACAAACGCAUCACAUCGCUAUGUUGAGCUCUUUUGGGUUGAAAGUUUGGCCGACAGGUGCAACCUUGGCGGUCUAAGGCCUUAACUAUUUCUCCAUCCUGAGAAUGACUUGGAAAUCCUCUAAGGGUACCGACAUGAACUUGGCUUUCACCCCACCAUGAGUCGACACCAACAAGCACCUCCCUCGCAAGACUCAAUAAUCUGAGCCUCCGAGCUCCUCGCUGUUAUCUGACUCUCAUCCAUGCAUAGUGUAAGUUUGAACCACCCGGCUUCACCAGUCGCAAAGAAUUAGUAGCCAAAUAAUAUCGAAAAUUUAUGAAAUUUAGUUUCCAAAUACUUUUAAUAGUGUAGAUCAAAUCUAACGGAGUCAAUUGUCGAUUUGGAAGCCACAUCAUUGAAAACAAUUUGGUACCACGGAGACUUCCGUGCUACCGAUAAUAUAAUAGUCUAGCGCUCUCUCUGUCUAUUUCUAUAUAUAUAUAUAUAUAUAUAUAUAUAUAUAUAUAUAUAUAUAUCAACAAUAUCUCCAGCUCUAAACGAAAGGAAAAAGACAGCAAACACCUGGGAGAAAGUGCUCCUGGUCACAAGAUACAGGCGUCAGUGAGGCCCUGUAAAGUUGUGGAAAAGGAAAAAAAAUAAAAUAAAAUAAAACAAACAAACAACAACAGCAGCAGCAAAAACCUGACAAAACCAACAACUGCUGCACCAUAAAUUAGCACAACCAACUCUAUUGGUCACACAGAACUGGAAACAAUGCCACAGUUCAUAGGAGAGGACCUCUAUUACAUUUAUUAUUAUUAUUAUUAUUAUUAUUAUUAUUAUUUUCUGGGUGGGGUUUCACCAUGUGUGAACCUAUUCUACUCAAAGAAAUUACAGCUGAGGUCCCCCCACGUCAGAUGGGUAAAUUUUAGCAGGGCCAAGAGUGGAUCUGAUUCGGAUCCAGAUUUCAGAUAAUAUAUUGUGUUCGUAUACAGACCCGGUUUCUGAUAAGACAUCUGAAUUCGGACCCACCCGUUGGACCCGAUAUUUAGUUAGAUUUUAGAAAAAUUUAUAGAUAAGAAAUCAAAGUAUAAUAUAUGUGAAAAAACAAAUUCAGAAAUAUUUCAAGUUAUAGGGAGCAAUUGGAAAUAUUAGUCUUGUACAAGGACUAACCAUACAGUUACUCCCUUAGGAUCCAACGGCUGCAAUGGUGCCACGCAAGUGGAGCCCACAGCUAGUCUGAUGGUGGAGAGAAUUAUCAUGGGUGGCCCAGCAGGUUAGGCUGGAUUCAUCACUUUGUGAAUUGUCUCGUACAUGCAGAGAACUAGCGAUGCAAAUGGAUUUGAGUUGAUAGAGCUCCUAUAUAUCUUGAACAUGCUCCGAUCUGCAAAGAAAAUAGAGUGGGUGGUGGGAGGAUUUUUCUUCUUUUACUUCAUUCCGAUUCAUCAAAAAUCCAUUAAAAAUCUGCUUCCACUCCAAACUACACCGAUUAAUGGACGGGCAAAUAAGAGCAAAAAAAUAGAAUAAAAAUCAAUCGGUCCUAAAUCCGCCACGGCCGGCCAAAAAAAAAGACCCCCCCUCUCUCAGAUUCGCCUCGUUUGCAUCCCUACAUAGAAACUGUAGCACAAGUACUAUGCUUCAGUGUAGUUGCAGAAUAAGUGGAGUAUAAGUCUGUUGAACAAAGGUAGUUUUUAUGGGCUAAAUUAUAAAAAUUCCCAAUGCCUUGUAGCUUAUGUUCUCUGUUGAAUAUAAAAUAUAUAAACAUUAGUCUCUAAUAGCUUAAGUGCUUAAGUUUUUAUAGAAUAACGAUUAUUUUAUAUAAUUUAACAUAGUACCAAAAUAAUAUAUUUUGAAUUCGAGUUCCACUAGACUACUAGCGUUAUUGUAUUAGAAAUUAUGUCAAUUUACAUGCUACAUUUUGUCUCCAAUUCAAAUAAAUCUAAAUUUGAGAUAACUAUUGCAUUAGUCUGUAAAAUUUUGUAGAAACAAAUAUGCAGAUGGUAUUAGUUAACUCGUUUAAGUAAAAUUGGCCUUUGUUAAUUCAUUUUAGUAAAAUACCAAAAUUUGACAACUAAAUUUAGUAACUAUUCUAUAUCUUUUGGUCUAUUCAAGGAGAAAGUCUAUUAUGUAGCAACAUGACAUCAUCUAUAACUAGCGAAUCGCAUCUCUCUUUUAGAGAAAAAAGUAUAAUAAAAAUAUUUUUUUUAAAAAAAUCAAUGAUAAGAUAGAUGAACCCUAGGAAAGCAAUUAAAUUAGUUGGAGAACACCACAUCAGUAAUGAGACGGCUGUAUUCUAAACCUUUUUUGAUUCAACACAUUAGCAAAGUACAAGGCAAAAAUUAGCAUAAAUUUUAAUGUAGGGAGGUACUUAAGAUAUUGCCUAAAGUGCAUGAGAGAUUUUUAUAAUUUAGUCUAAUAAUAAAGGCUAAAAGGGUACACCCAAGAUAAAAUUGGUGCCAGAGCUGCCAACUACCAAAGCUAAACUAGAUUUCUAUGGCCUAUAAUUGAAUGGCUAACAAAAGAAGCCCUAGAAAGGCAAGACAAAUCAUACUUCAACAGCCUUUUGCUGCAUGAUGUAAUAAUCACCAUAAAGUUCUGUUCCCCACCAUCCAACUCAAAAGCACUACCAUGGUAUGCAAAUUCAAGAUGCUCACAUUAUGAGACAUGGCCUGUUCUCAGAUAAAAUGAAAAAAAAGUAAAUUAAAGGGCACAGAAAUUCUCCUGUUCAUACAUAAUGCAAUGUACCUUGUGGUUCUGUUCAUACAGAGCAAAAUUCAGCAGCAGUAGAUAAUUUUUCUGAAAAUGAAACAGGUUACAACCACAAUUAGCAAUAAUAUUCACUCAGAUGAAACAAAAAAGGAGGAAAAAAGGAAAGAGUUAUGGCCAUAUUUCAUAUGUUUCAACCAUACUAAGUAAUCCAACAUUAGUAGAUUAAAAUUUCACUGAAACUGAUUUUGUUUCAGAAUACAACACUGAACAGACCAAAACAUCAGUUACUAAAAUUUUCUAUGGCUCGGCUUCGAAGUGAUAACAUAGAACACGGAAGAGAACAAGACAUAAUAAGUUCAGCAGCAAAACCAUCAAUAUUUCACAUUUACCAUGUUCAAUUGAACAUACAAACAGUGAAAACAUUAGAUACAUUAUAUAUAAAGCAGCAUCCCAAACAAAUACAAAACUAACACUGUUAAUAUAAAACAUUAGAUCUUCCUCUAUUUAUUGAGCUAAGGAAGAAAAGGGCUCGAUAUUCUUUGAGCUCAUCAAGCUUCAUUACUGUUCUCCUCUUUUGGCUUGCUUACGUUCGAUGAUGAAUUUCUUUGGGUUGGAGAAUGUCCUUUUAUGGACAAUUUUCUUCGGCAUAUCGAUUAGAAAAUGAGGCAACUCCCGUACAACCAAGAACCACGAUCCUUUGUCCGCAAAGUACUUCUAGCGUGAAUUCAUUAGCCUGUCCAAUGUAUCGACAACAUGCCUCAUAGUCGGUCUUCUUUCUGGAUUAGCUUGAACACAAGCCAAAGCGAUUUUAAGCACCGCAAUCAUCUCGUCUUCUCUAUCGACUUCUCUACUAAGGGAUGGAUCUAAGACAUCAGCAAGUGGUUUCUUCUCCUCGAUACAAGAUUGUACCCAUCGAACUAAAUCUAUUUCUAGGGUUUCCAAUAGAACAACCGGUGACCUACCGGAGAUCAUCUCAAGUAAAAUCACCCCGUAGGAAUAUACAUCCCACUUUUGGGAAGGUUUUAACGUUUUCAAUGCUUCCGGCGCUUGAUAAAAUGAUCCUUUGCUCACAAGAGGACUAACUGAGAUAUCGGAUUGUUGGGUCGGAGUCUUUUCUGCAGCCAUUCUAUCUGAUUGCAAGAACGGCGAUCCUCCUGCUAUGUUGGCGAGACGGCCGAGGCCAAAAUCGGAAAUAUAUGGCUCCAUGUCCAUUCCGAGAAGUACAUUGUUGGGUCGGAGAUCACCGUGAACGUACUUCUUCGGGCUAAAUUCAUGCAGAAAUGCUAAGCCCCUGGCUAUUCCUUGCAUGAUUUUUAGUCGAACGUCCCACAAUAGCGGUGUAAAUGCAAUAACUCCGGCUUUCCCUGAAGAUAAGUACGUAAUCACAAACAAAUAAAAUGAUGUUAAGCUAACAUAAAUUGUUUAAGACAUCACAGUUUCCUCUACACACACACAUGCACAUUUCCAUGAUAAGAUAGAUAUCCACAAUUUUCUCUGAAAUAAACAAUUUUAUGCAUUUUUCUCAAAAUAACAUAAUUUUAUGAUGUAUUAUUACUCGAUCAAAUUACUCAAGAAAUUAGAUUGACCGCGACCUGAAUUUCGACAAGAGGUUGCUUGCUUCAGACAUGCACACAUUUUCCUCUAUAUUAUCUGAUUGAGCAUAACUGAUAUUACAAUAAAGCUUUUGUUUUUUGCAUUAUUUUCUCCCAGGAAACACAUUAUAGUAGCAGAAACUACGAUAAGACCGGUAACAUUUAAUCAUGUAAACAGAAUUGGCAGUUUAAGCACUUACCAUGAAUUGCAGCAGUGAGAUUUCCAUUAGGAAUGUAGUCAUAAAUUAGCAACUUCUCGUCGACCGACCAAUAAUAAGCUCUCAAAGUAACAAUAUUAGGAUGCCGCACUUUCCCAAUGGCUUCGACUUCCGUCUGAAACUCCUUGAACCUCUGUAACCCUCCUUCACCAAGCCUCCUCACUGCUAACGUCACACCGUCCUCCAUCACCACCUUGUACACGAUUCCUAUCCCGCUUUUCCCCAACACGAAAGCCGAAGCCUUCAAAAGCUCAUCUAAAUCGAAUCUCACGUGCCGAUCCAACGGCACUAAAUCGUAUUGCUCGAUGUCCUCCGACGGGGUCUCCGAUUCUUCCUUCCUGAAGCAAUUACAAUCCUUUCUACACUUUGUACCCUUAUCGGAGUUCCCACCCUCUUCGUUCUCUCUAGAAGAAAUCGCCCUCCAAUAACAAUAAAAGAAUAGCAACGCUAUAAGACCGAUUCCGAUCACAUCACUCACGACUAUCGCAACCACCGCAUUUCUACUCAACCCUUUCGUACGACCACUUCCGGUCAAAUUGGCACUGGCUUCGACCCCGGAAGGCGAGUAAUUGCUAGGUAGAAACGGAUUGGACGACGGGACAUCAGAAGAGCAAGGGUUCUUCAAUGGAGGGCCGCAAAGGCCCGGAUUCCCGAUAAAGGCGGUCGGACCUCUAUUCUCCAGAGCCCCAUUUUGCGGUAUCGGUCCGCUGAGAUUGUUAUAAGUAAGGUCUAUGUAGACCUUCUCUGGCAAAUUCCCGAGGCUUGGGGGGAUCGAACCGGAGAAGAGAUUAUGCGAAAGAUCGACCGUGCCCUGGAGGCUCGAGAGGUUACCGAUAUCGCUCGGGAUCGGGCCGGUGAACUGAUUGUAAGAAAGAUCAAGUUUCUCCAAUGCAAGCAAUGAGCUCCCGAAACCAUCGGGCAACGAGUUGGUGAAGUUGUUGUGGCUCAAAACUAGGGUUUUGAGCCUCUUGCAUUGGAUCAAUGAGUAGGGCAAAGAGCCAUCGAGGAGAUUAUGUGAAAGGUCGAGGAUUUGGAGGUAAGCGAGGUUGCCGAUCUCCGGCGGGAGGGGCCCAUAGAGGGAAUUGCCAUAAAGGACCAAGCUUUGGAGCCCCACGGCGGCGAACAAGCCGGAAGGAACGGGGCCGAAGAGCCGAUUGGUCCUUAGGUUGAGGUGCCUGAGUGAAGUGAGGGAGCCAAGAGAGGAGGGGAGGGAACCCACAAGCCUCUUCUUGGGCAAGCUCAGGGAGACAACUAGGGCACUGAUGCAGGUGACCCCAUUCCAUGAGCAUGGGUUUGGGUCAGAGGAGUUCCAGUUCAAGAGGGAGUUUCCUGGGUCCUCUCUAAUGGAGGUUUUGAAGGUGAGAAGAGCAAACCCUUCACCAUUCAGAGCAUGGGAAGGUGGAGCAAGAACAAGAACAGAUGGAAUCUUUCAGGAGGCUUACCUCUGCUGGAGAGAUUUGUGAGGAAAUGGGGGAGGGUUGGGUUUUGGAGGAGGAUGAGAGAAAUGUUUAGAGAGAGAGAGAGAGAGAGAGAGAGAGAGAGAGAGAGUNAACAACACUAGUAAGCUCCAAAAUGUAGCAGAAACAAAGAAAGAUGGAAUCUUUCAGGAGGCUUACCUCUGCUGGAGAGAUUUGUGAGGAAAUGGGGGAGGGUUGGGUUUUGGAGGAGGAUGAGAGAAAUGUUUAGAGAGAGAGAGAGAGAGAGAGAAUGGGGAAGAGGGAAAAAGGAACAGGGAAAAGUUGGAGAGAACUCCACUAAGGGGAUUAAAAAAAAAAAAAAAAAAAAACACACACACCAUAUGGAUAGAAGUGUCUGCACACAAAGCCCUAUUCUUAAUGUUGAGUUGUUCUCAAUCAGGUGAGUAUAAGGAUAGGGAUGGGUAGGGAUGCAAACGAAGCGGAUCUGAAAGGAAGGCGAGAGACUCCUGUUUCGCCUCAUGCUCAACAAAUUAUUAUAUGGGUAAACUUCAAAUAUCACCUAUGUGGUUUCGUAUUUUCUUACUUUAAUACCAUGUGGUUUAAAGUGUAUCAAGUUAGUAUUCUGUGGUUUCAUUUUUAUCUUUUUGUCGGCUUUUUCGUUAAUAUUUUGUUAAAUUAUAUACAAAAAAAUAUAAGAUACCCCAUCUAGAUUUAUCGAAUAUUCACUUUGGUACUCUUUAGUUUUAACUUUGUCACUGAUUUAACAAAAAAAAUUAAUGAAAUCGAUAAUAAAAAGAUAAAAAUAAAAUCACAAGGCACUAAAUUGAUACACUUUAAACCACAGGAUACUAAAACGAGAAAGUGUAAAACCACAGGGGUAGUAUUUGAAGUUUUUCCUUAUUAUAUUUGUCUCAUCUCUCACCCUGUUUGCCAUGUCUAAAAAAUCACCUUCAUAGGCUCAUCAAAUCUUUCUUGUUAAAUUUUUAAACUAUAGUUUUGUUAUUUAAACUAAAAUAAGAUUUUAAGAAAAUAAAACUAUCAUUGAAAGUAACUAUAUUUUAAUUUGCAUUUAUAUUAAGAACAAAUCAUAUAUAGAAUGCAACAAUAUUCUAAAAAAAGGAAAGUUAUUCUAUAAUUAAAAUAUAUAUUCAGAAUGGAUUAAGAGCUAGAUUUGGCAGGACGGAUUUGGGUCGAAUCAAAUUUAUCACCACUUCCAUCUUAAAUCUGUUUUGGAUUAUAAAAUCAUUCUGUUUAGUACCCUGAAUCCGUUCACACACACUCGUUUAUCGCCUCAUUAGGGGUGAAUCGGGAUGGGAGCUCCACUAGCAUUGAUCCAUUUGCAUCCCCAGGAUGGGACUAAGUUGUGUGUGCAUAAUUUUAUUUCUGAAUCAGUUGUAUGAAUUGGCCAGUUUAACUCAGUCUACAAUUUACAGAAAAAAAUUCAGCCAAUGAGAACCAGUUCAUAUCAAGAUAAGGACCUUGCUCAUUGGCCCUACUUCUGCUUUCUUCCUAAAAUAGUAGACUCUAGUAGAGCAAUUCGCCNAAAAAAAAAAAAAAAAAAAAAAAAAAAAGGGAAAGAUUCCGAGUAUCACAAGAACCAAUUAGAAAGUUAUAAACCAUGUUUAUUUAUUCAGAAAUCUUGUAUCAAAAUGAGCUUUUGAGACUUAAAAUCCCCAUUUGUACUGUUGGUCGCACGGAAAAGAGAAACACAAUUGGUUUGCGAAAAUCUAGUUUUUACUUAUUCAAUACAAUGAUGCUUCUGAAUCUGAACGAAAAGACAUUUACGAUAUACUUGGCUUUAAAAGUUGAGUCUGAAAUGAGAACCGAUACGGUUGACUCCUACUCCAAUCUUGUGCUCGGAAAGAAUCCUCUUUUGGAUUAAAGUCAAGCGAAAUCUCACUCCAAUGUCGAAUCAAAAUAAUCUAUUCCAAUUCCCAUUUUAGGGUGAGAACCAGACGCACCAUUUCCGUUGGUAAUUCUUAUUCUAAUUUUGUUUUAUGAUUCUAAUAUUGAUGGUAAACCAAACAAUAUACAACUAUAACAAAAUUUUAUCCAAAAAUCAUAAAAUUUUUUGAUAUUUUAAGCAGUAUAUACAAAAACUCUAGUUAGGCUAAAUAAACCGACAGUUUCAACUGUGACAUGUUUAGUUGGACUAGCAUUGGGCCAAACCAGGUGAGUAUAAACCGUUUCGAUUCGAUUUAAUUCGAUUCGAUUCGAUUCGGUUCGGUUUGAUUCGGUUUUAACUUUGGACCAGUUGUACGAGAACCGACCAAGUGGUGGACCAGCACAUUAAUUUAAACCUAGAAGCAUUGAACGAGGAAGUAGUAGCCGUUUAUCACAGUAAUAGUUAAGCCCCACCACAUCGCUCGUGCCUUAAUUAGUAAUUAGGUAAAAAUGUACGGAGACCCCUAAACUAUUGUCACGUUUGAAAAUCCACCACUUAUAUUUCUCAUUUUUUUUGGGGUAAAUUGUAUGGAGACCCCCUCAACUAUAGCCUAUUCGGAAAUAACCCCCUCAUCUAUCCUUUUUUUUGCGUUUGACACCUUCACAACCUCUAUUUCUUUUUUUAUGUCAGUUUUUAUACUAAAAUAAGUUAUAUAAGUUAUCAAAUUUAAUAACCCCAUUAGUCAUUAAUAAUUAAUUGAUCUAAUUUUGCAUGCUAAACAAUUGAUUAAAGAAAUCAAAUCUAGUAAAAUUACUGAUAAAUUUGAUAAAAUCUCCAAACUUUUUGACUAAAACUACUUUUUUCUUAAAAAAAAGCCUUUCUUCUUACAAUUAGCCCAUCCAAGGACUAGUCUUUCUUUCUUUGCCACAUUAAUUUUCUUUUCUUUUUUUUUUGAUAAUUCUCUAACUUUUUUUUCUUAAAAAAAAUUUGAAUGGUUUUAGUCGAAUAAAUAGGAAUUUAGCCAAAUUUCACAGUUUGAUUAUUUAACAAAUAAUAUUGAAACUCUUGAUGACUUGUGAUGCCCCAACUUCCCAGAGAGUCACCCAUCCUACGACUACUUCCGUUCUAACAUACUUAACUCUCUUAACCUCUUGGAUCUAUUCAUAAUCCAAAAUACUUAAGCCGGGUUAAGAAUUUAGUCCUAUUAUAUUUUAUAUAUAGGACUAUCUGGGGUCUCACACGACUAAUAUCUAAUAGUGCAAUUAAAUUCAAUAGAAUUUUUAACUUAAUUAACUAAAAUACGUUAAAUUAAAAAUUAAAAACUAAAAGUGAACCAAUAGUAUAAAAAAGUAGAACCAUACUAUUUUAUACACUCUGCAAGAUGAGAGAUGUUAGAUAUGCACUGAUGUAAAAGUAGAAUUUAUCAAAAAAAAAAGGAAAAUUAAGGGGCCCAAUUUGAAAUUUGCAAUAGUUGAGGGGGCCUUGAUACAUUUCAAAUUAGUAAUGAACUUACACAUCCAUUUUAAGAAGCCUCACCCCUCACCUGUCCUGUCAUUCACAACCUAUGGAGCAAAAGAAAGUGAUAAGGGGGGACCAGGUGUUUCUAAAUGAGGUGGGAGUAUGUUUAACAUCUAUUGCAUUUAUCUGUGAAAAAGGGUACAUAGGAUUCUAGUAGCCUCAUGCUAAACUCUAGGAUGCAUUUGUAACUUGAUUAAAGAGGUAAAAUAUUACUUCUAUAAAUUUUUAUCUCUAAUAACAUAUUUGGCAUGGAGAAAACUAUAUAUAUAUAUAUAUAUAUAUAUAUAUAGUUUUCUCCAUGCCAAAUAUGUUAUUAGAGAUAAAAAUUUAUAGAAGUAAUAUUUUACCUCUUUAAUCAAGUUACAAAUGCAUCCUAGAGUUUAGCAUGAGGCUACUAGAAUCCUAUGUACCNCUCUCUUCUUACUUUAUAUCGUUUUUAUUUUCUCGCUCCCGAUUUUGCUCUUUUUAUUUUCUCUUUUCACUUUCUUUCUCUUUAUUUUCUCUCUCAUCUCUUUUCUUACGUUUUCUCUUUACUUUCUUCAUCCGUAUCUUCGUUCAUCGGACGCUUUCUCUCUAGCCAUUCCUUUCUCUUGCUUUCUCUCAAUAUAUUUUGCUCUUUUCUUAUUUUUCUCUCUUCACUUUCUUUUUCUUCAUCCUUUUCUCUCUCCUCAUUCCUUCCUCUCUUUUUAUUUUCUCUUUCUUUAUUUUCUCUCUCGUUGACUCCCUCUCAUCCCUUUCUCCUUACUUUCUCUCCUUUCUUUUUCUCUCUCUUCAUGCAUUUCUCCUUCCUCAUUUUCUCCCCCCUCUCUCUUUUAAUACUCUUUCUCAUCCCUCUCUUCUUGUUUUAUUUUUCUCCACUGCCUCACUCCUUAUCUGUUUCUCUUUCUUUAUUUUUUCUCUCAUCCCUUUUUUUUUUUUCGCUUCACUUCUCUCGUUCCUUUCUCUCUCAUCGUUUUUUCUCCACUUAUUUUCUCUCUUAUCUAUCUAUACUUUUGUUCAAGAAAUAAUCAAACCUCUACACAAUUUUUUGUUUGGGAAAACUUCAAAUACCACCCCUGUGGUUUCAUACUUUCACUUUAGUACUCUGUGGUUUAAAGUGUAUCAAUUGAGUAUACUGUGAUUUUAUUUUUUUCUUUUUAUUAUCAAUUCCACUAAUUUUUUUAUUAAAUCAGUGACAAAGUUAAAAUUAAAGAAUACUAAAGUGGAUAUUCAAUAAACUUAGGUGGGGUAUCUGAAGUUUUUUAUAUAUAAUUUAACAAAAUAUUAAUGAAAAAUCUGACGAAAAGAUAAAAAUAAAACUACAGUACAGUAACUUUAUACACUUUAAACCAUAGGGCACUAAAGUAAGAAAAUGCGAAACCACAGGAGUGGUAUUUGAAGUUUAC
rnacentral:lncRNA from 1 species